rnacentral:rRNA from 1 species
UACGUAGGGUGCAAGCGUUGUCCGGAAUUAUUGGGCGUAAAGAGCUCGUAGGCGGUCUGUCGCGUCUGCUGUGAAAACCUAGGGCUUAACUCUGGGCGUGCAGUGGGUACGGGCAGGCUAGAGUGCGGUAGGGGAGACUGGAAUUCCUGGUGUAGCGGUGAAAUGCGCAGAUAUCAGGAAGAACACCCGUGGCUAAGGCGGCUCUCUAGUACGGUACUGACGCUGAGACGCGAAAGCGUGGGGAGCGAACAGG